AUUGAACGCUGGCGGCAGGCCUAACACAUGCAAGUCGAGCGGAUGAAGGGAGCUUGCUCCUGGAUUCAGCGGCGGACGGGUGAGUAAUGCCUAGGAAUCUGCCUGGUAGUGGGGGAUAACGUCCGGAAACGGGCGCUAAUACCGCAUACGUCCUGAGGUAGAAAGUGGGGGAUCUUCGGACCUCACGCUAUCAGAUGAGCCUAGGUCGGAUUAGCUAGUUGGUGGGGUAAAGGCCUACCAAGGCGGCGAUCCGUAACUGGUCUGAGAGGAUGAUCAGUCACACUGGAACUGAGACACGGUCCAGACUCCUACGGGAGGCAGCAGUGGGGAAUAUUGGACAAUGGGCGAAAGCCUGAUCCAGCCAUGCCGCGUGUGUGAAGAAGGUCUUCGGAUUGUAAAGCACUUUAAGUUGGGAGGAAGGGCAGUAAGUUAAUACCUUGCUGUUUUGACGUUACCAACAGAAUAAGCACCGGCUAACUUCGUG
rnacentral:rRNA from 1 species